GCCUUAGUAACUGCGAGUGAAGCGGCAAGAGCUCAAAUUUGAAAUCUGGCACCUUCGGUGUCCGAGUUGUAAUUUGUAGAAGCAUCUUUUGGAUUGGUCCUUGCAUAUGUUCCUUGGAACAGGACAUCAUAGAGGGUGAGAAUCCCGUUCAUGGUGGGGAAUCCAAUUCUUUGUAAAGUGCUUUCGAAGAGUCGAGUUGUUUGGGAAUGCAGCUCUAAGUGGGUGGUAAAUUCCAUCUAAAGCUAAAUAUUGGCGAGAGACCGAUAGCGAACAAGUACAGUGAUGGAAAGAUGAAAAGAACUCCGAAAGGAGAGUGAAAAAGGACGUGAAAUUGUUGAAAGGGAAGUGCUUGAGAUCAGUCUUAAGGUUUAGUGAUCAGUCUUCCUUUUGGUUGGUGCACUCACUAUUUCUUAGGCCAACAUCAGUUUUGGCGGCAGGAUAAUGACAUUGGAAUGUGGCUCUUUCGGGAGUGUUAUAGCCUUUGUUGAUACUGCCUGCUUAGACUGAGGACUGCGCUUUUGCUAGGAUGUUGGCAUAAUGAUCUUAAGCAGCC
rnacentral:rRNA from 1 species